GCUUUAGUUGCCGCAAAAGGAGAAGCAGAGAGACGAUGAUAGCCUGGAAAAUCCAAAGUUUGAUAUGCCAAGAUUGGCUUGGAAUUGACAAGAGCUUGCUUGUCAUGGGAAAUAGAAGGAUUAGUAUUCAGACGGUUGGGCAAGGCUCUGAAAGGGGUAUUUGUAAAAGAGAAGGAUAGGAAAAAUGGUGACAUGUAGGCAGCCAUUGGAGGAGGGAAGAUGGAGGAGAAGUAGGUUUUGGUUGCAAGUUAAAAUUCAAAGAAUAUCCACUCCAG
rnacentral:misc_RNA from 1 species